AUACGUAGGUGGCAAGCGUUGUCCGGAAUUACUGGGUGUAAAGGGAGCGCAGGCGGGCGUGCAAGUCAGCUGUGAAAUCCAUGGGCUUAACCCGUGGGCUGCAGUUGAAACUGUAUGUCUUGAGUGAAGUAGAGGUAGGCGGAAUUCCGAGUGUAGCGGUAAAAUGCGUAGAUAUUCGGAGGAACACCGGUGGCGAAGGCGGCCUACUGGGCUUUAACUGACGCUGAGGCUCGAAAGUGUGGGGAGCAAACAGGAUUAGAUACCCUGGUAGUCCACACUGUAAACGAUGAUUGCUAGGUGUGGGGGGUCUGACCCCUUCCGUGCCGCAGUUAACGCAAUAAGCAAUCCACCUGGGGAGUACGGCCGCAAGGCUAAAACUCAAAGGAAUUGACGGGG
rnacentral:rRNA from 1 species